rnacentral:rRNA from 1 species
AUCCUGGCUCAGGAUGAACGCUAGCUACAGGCUUAACACAUGCAAGUCGAGGGGAAACGAUAGAGAAAGCUUGCUUUUCUAGGCGUCGACCGGCGCACGGGUGAGUAACGCGUAUCCAACCUGCCCAUCACUUGGGGAUAACCUUGCGAAAGUAAGACUAAUACCCAAUGACGUCUCUAGAAGACAUCUGAAGGAGAUUAAAGAUUUAUCGGUGAUGGAUGGGGAUGCGUCUGAUUAGCUUGUUGCGGGGUAACGGCCACCAAGGCGACGAUCAGUAGGGGUUCUGAGAGGAAGGCCCCCCACAUUGGAACUGAGACACGGUCCAAACUCCUACGGGAGGCAGCAGUGAGGAAUAUUGGUCAAUGGACGAGAGUCUGAACCAGCCAAGUAGCGUGCAGGAUGACGGCCCUAUGGGUUGUAAACUGCUUUUAUAAGGGAAUAAAGUGAGUCUCGUGAGACUUUUUGCAUGUACCUUAUGAAUAAGGACCGGCUAAUUCCGUG